rnacentral:rRNA from 1 species
AGGGUGGCCGGCCAUACUGGGAUUGAGAUACGGCCCAGACUCCUACGGGAGGCAGCAAAUCGGAAUUAUCAACAAUGGGAGAAAUCCUGAUCGUGCGACGCCGCGUGAGCGAUGAAGGCCUUCGGGUCGUAAAGCUCUGUGUUAUGGGAAGAAACCCUGGUAGGUUAAUAACUUAUCAGCUUGACGGUACCAUAAUAGAAAGCCCCGGCUAACUACGUGCCAGCAGCCGCGGUAAUACGUAGGGGGCAAGCGUUGUUCGGAAUCACUGGGCGUAAAGGGCGUACAGGUGGCCAUAUAAGUCGGAUGUGAAAUCCUCAAGCUUAACUUGAGAACUGCAUUCGAAACUGUAUGGCUUGAGAUCAGGAGAGGAGAGUGGAAUAUGUGGUGUAGCGGUGAAAUGCGUAGAUAUCACAUAGAACACCGGUGGCGAAGGCGGCUCUCUGGCCUGAUUCUGACACUGACGCGCGAAAGCUAGGGUAGCGAACGGGAUUAGAUACCCCGGUAGUCCUAGCCGUAAACGAUGGGUACUAAGUGUAGGAGGUCAUCGACCCCCCCUGUGCUGUAGCUAACGCAUUAAGUACCCCGCCUGGGGACUACGGCCGCAAGGCUAAAACUCAAAGUAAUUGACGGGGGCCCGCACAAGCGGUGGAGCAUGCCGCUCAAUUCGAAGCAACGCGAAGAACCUUAUCCAGUGGCUUGACAUCCUUUGAUAGCUGUGGAAACACAGUUUUCCCUUUUGGGACAAAGUGACAGGUGCUGCAUGGCAGUCGUCAGCUCGUGUCGUGAGAUGUUGGGUUAAGUCCCGCAACGAGCGCAACCCCUAUCUUUAGUUACCAGCGGGUAAUGCCGGGCACUCUAGAGAGACUGCCGGUGAUAAGCCGGAGGAAGGUGGGGAUGACGUCAUGUCCUCAUGGCCCUUAUGCCCUGGGCUGCACGCGUGCUACAAUGGCCGGUACAGAGAGUCGUGAAACCGCGAGGUGGAACCAAUCUCAAAAAGCCGGUCCCAGUUGGGAUUGUAGUCUGCAACUCGACUACAUGAACGUGGAAUCGCUAGUAAUCGCGAAUCAGCAGGUCGCGGUGAAUACGUUCCCGGGCCUUGUACACACCGCCCGUCACACCACGAAAGUCGGUAACAUUCGAAGCCGGUAGGCCAACCCUUCGGGGGGGCAGCCGUCGAAAGUGAGACCGAUGAUUGGGGUGAAGUCGUAACAAGGUA